AAUCUCACACUGCUUUUGGGGCAGAGCCCACUCCUAGGUCCUUCUCCAGAACACGAGCUGUCCUGCAUGCAGCCAGGGUUCUUCACCAAGGGUGGCAAGUUCAGUAUGCAGAGAAUUGGUUAUCUUCGAGAAAGCUCCUCCUUCCUGAGAGAUGGAAUUAAACCAGCCUACAAUGGGAAUAAAAAGCCCUUCCUUCCAUACAGUGGAACGGCUAAGUCAACUGAGAGGAAGAUGCGAUGGCUUUCUGAGGAAACACACCUGGUGGGUGCCCAAGAUUUCGGCAGAUCUGCUCGGAAAGUUUGAGCACCACUGCCAAGAAAAUCCAAUCAUCAUUUUGACAUCAUGGCCGAUUUCUCGGACCAGAUUUUAGCGGUGAUCCCAAACCCUGGAGGACAUAACUGAGUUAUGUGGAGGAACAUUUCUGGGAUCUCCGUGCGACGGCGCAGGAACCUCAGCAGGGGAUCCAGGUGGUCAUUUGCUGGACGUAGAGAGCCGAUGUCUUUUACACCGUGUGGGGGAUUUAACAGCUCCUAGAGAUGACUUUCACAUGAACCCACAAGACAGAAAAUCACCAGUGGACACGCUUACAAAUGGUGAUGUGGUUCACACAGCAA